rnacentral:ncRNA from 1 species
GCUUUCAACAUCACCGUUCGUGGCGGCGAUAGGCCAGCUCGAACUGAAGGC